GAAAAAAACAUUUCCCAUCAUAGGAAAGACGCAAUAGCCUCUCGCGUGUUUAAAUGAAACACGCAUCAGCCUCUCGCGUGUUUCAUUUAAACCAUCAGCCCCGGCGGAUUUUAUCAUCCCGCAUCAAAUUUUUUUUUAUUGAUUUCAAGCUUAGGCUACAGCUAAACAAAAAUUAAAAUCUCCGACGCCCAUAAAUCGAAAAAGGGGUAAGUGGAUACAAGAAAUUUGUUGUGAGUUUUAUGUUAUCACGAUCUGCAAUUUUUCUGAAAUAUUAGGAGAAGGAAGUGUGGAAGGGGUUUUACAUCUCAUGCUCUGCAAAUUUACGAUGUUUUAAUUUUGUGAUUUCUGAAAUUUUGGGAGAAACAAGAGAUCAACGGCUGAAAUGUACUGCGGAAUUUCAAUUCGGAUAAAAAAAUCAUGGAGAUGGAACUGCUGGGUUAUGCGUUAUGUUGAUGAAGAAUUGGAUACAGAGGGAAAAGAAAAGGAAUUGAGCAAAAUUGUAGAGAGAAGAAGAAUUAGAUCUGGUGAUGGUUUGUUGAGAGCACCCGCGAGAGGCUGAUGGUUUAAAUGAAACACGCGAGAGGCUGAUGCGUGUUUCAUUUAAACACGCGAGAGGCUAUUGCGUCUUUCCUAUGAUGGGAAAUGUUUUUUUUCCGGGUGCAAAUGGCGGAUAACUUUCCCCGUAACGUCCAUUUGUGGAAUUUAGCCCUCCCACUACUUGAAAACUAAAUCGAUUCUCUCUCCCCAAUCGACCUUUCUCUCUCCAAAUCUCCCCAUCCGACCACCUACCGAUUUCAUUCAUAAAUAUAAACAAACCCUAGUCUGCUGCCGCUCUCUCCAAAUCUCCCCAUCAACGCUUUCUGCUUCUCAUCGUUACUGCUUGCGAUUGCUCCAUCAACGCUUUCUCCAAGUUCGGCGCUUGAAGUUUGCCGCCCAUCGUUACUACCUGCGUCUGCUCCAUUGGUUCGAUUUCUGUUUCAUUAUUGACUGCCUUGUUUAUACAGUUGUUGGAGGAAAGAAUUGUGUGAGCUAUGGACGGAUGUUGAGAAAAGCGAAAACUGAACUCCUUGAAUUCAAGUGGAAAACAAAUGGCACUACCGAAGAUUGUGGUGUGUAUGCUAUGCAAGACAUAUGGAGACGUAUAUGGGGACUAAAGUGCGACCUUACCAACAAGCCAUCCAAGUCAUUCCAGUUGCUCCAUUCGAAAUUCAUUAUAGCUAUGGUUUAUAGUAACAAAAAGAAGGUCGAGGAUUACAUGAUGAGAACAGCAACAAGCCACCUGGAAGAGGCAUGAAAGAAGGGACCCGUUGACAUUGAAAAGAUGGUGGCAGAUUUUCCCAAACUUUGAAUGGUGACUGACAUUGUUUUAGAAAAAUGACAAUUACUUUGUUUUGAUUUGAAUUUGUUCGGAAUAUUGGUUUGUUUUGGUGUACGGAUUGCUUGGUUAUAGAAUUUAGUUUUUCGUUGU